rnacentral:rRNA from 1 species
AGUGAACGCUGGCGGUAGGCCUAACACAUGCAAGUCGAACGGCAGCACAGUAAGAGCUUGCUCUUACGGGUGGCGAGUGGCGGACGGGUGAGGAAUACAUCGGAAUCUACCUUUUCGUGGGGGAUAACGUAGGGAAACUUACGCUAAUACCGCAUACGACCUACGGGUGAAAGCAGGGGAUCUUCGGACCUUGCGCGAUUGAAUGAGCCGAUGUCGGAUUAGCUAGUUGGCGGGGUAAAGGCCCACCAAGGCGACGAUCCGUAGCUGGUCUGAGAGGAUGAUCAGCCACACUGGAACUGAGACACGGUCCAGACUCCUACGGGAGGCAGCAGUGGGGAAUAUUGGACAAUGGGCGCAAGCCUGAUCCAGCCAUACCACGUGGGUGAAGAAGGCCUUCGGGUUGUAAAGCCCUUUUGUUGGGAAAGAAAAGCAGCAGGUUAAUACCCCGCUGUUCUGACGGUACCCAAAGAAUAAGCACCGGCUAACUUCGUG